CAAUUAAAUUUAAUUUAACCAAAAAAAAAUCGAUUGAAAACUGCGCUUCCAAAAAAAAAAAACUGUAACGCUUCCCUUCUUCCCCCACUAUCUCAUUAUGUCCACUUCUCAAUUCUUCAACAAUAAAACACAGAUGAUUUCAUACAAAAAUCUCUCAUCUCUUCUAUUUCUGAUUCAUGUUUUUUCUUGCUUUGAUCAGAUCGAGUUACAGGAACACCAUUGAAAGGAGAAGGUUCUGGCAAAUUGAGUUUUUUUGGGGUUGAUUAAUGAACUGAUUGUCACAAGACAAGAAGAACAACAACAUCAACAAGAAUAAGAUGACGCUUAACAUUCGUCGUGAAUCUUCCAAGCUAUGGAAGAGAUUUUGCUCUGAGAUAACGACGGAGAUUGGUCUUCUUGCUGAGAACUUGAGAUAUCUUCUGGCUGGUCCUAUCUAUCAGUUUGCGGCUAAUUCCAGAGUAAAAAGGCAUGUCUAAUUCUCCAAGGAUUCCAAGCAAAUCUCAAAAAAAACUUUGGAAGAGAAACACAUUAAAAAGAAAAAGAAAACUAAUCAAAGCUUGGAAGAAGCAUGUGUUAUCUAGAAAAGCACAAGAGAAAAGGUGAAAAAAUAGAGUAAGCCUUCACCUUUUACAUACGACGAGAUAUAUAGGAGGCCACCAAAAUUUGUUGAAUUGGUGGAUACAUACUGGGGAAAAGGGCCAUUUCGCACAUGUACAAUAUCGAAAGUGCCAAUUUAUACUUGUACAAACUAUUGGUGCUAAUUUAUAUAUGUACUCAAAUAAAAUUCAAAUUUCAUACU